GACGUAGGGCGCGAGCGUUGUCCGGAUUUAUUGGGCGUAAAGAGCUCGUAGGCGGCUUGUUGCGUCAGCUGUGAAAACCCGCAGCUCAACUGUGGGCUUGCAGCUGAUACGGGCAGGCUUGAGUUCGGUAGGGGAGACUGGAAUUCCUGGUGUAGCGGUGAAAUGCGCAGAUAUCAGGAGGAACACCAGUGGCGAAGGCGGUGGUCUGGGCCGGAACUGACGCUGUAGAGCGAAAGCGUGGGGAGCGAACAGG
rnacentral:rRNA from 1 species